rnacentral:rRNA from 1 species
UACGAAGGGGGCUAGCGUUGUUCGGAUUUACUGGGCGUAAAGCGCACGUAGGCGGACUGUUAAGUCGGGGGUGAAAUCCUGGGGCUCAACCUCAGAAUUGCCUCCGAUACUGGCAGUCUCGAGUGCGGGAGAGGUGAGUGGAAUUCCCAGUGAUAGAGGUGAAAUUCGUAGAUAUCUGGAGGAACGACCGGUGGCGAAGGCGGCAGUCCUGGACCAACACUGACGCUGAUGAGCGAAAGCCAGGGGAG